CCCUUAGAUGUUCUGGGCCGCACGCGCGCUACACUGAUGCAUUCAACGAGUUUCUUCCUGGUCCGAGAGGAAUGGGUAACCUUUUGAAAGUGCAUCGUGAUAGGGAUAGACUAUUGCAAUCAUUGGUCUUCAACGAGGAAUUCCUAGUAGACGUAGUUCAUCAGACUGCAUCGAUUACGUCCCUGCCCUUUGUACACACCGCCCGUCGCUCCUACCGAUUGAAUGCUCAGGUGAGCCAUUCGGACUUUCAUCAUGCUGGUUUCCAGUUUUGAUGAAGGAAAGUCUUGCGAACCUUAUCAUUUAGAGGAAGGAGAAGUCGUAACA
rnacentral:rRNA from 1 species